rnacentral:pre_miRNA from 1 species
AGAAGAAGUAGACAUGGCGUGAUAUUGGUCCGGCUCAUAUCCCAGUUCGUUCGUUGAUCUUCUUGAAAUUAUGCCACUAAGCGAGAUAGAUCAAGGAAGACGAGCCGAAUCAAUAUCACUCUUGUAUGCUUCUUU